rnacentral:rRNA from 1 species
GACGAACGCUGGCGGCGUGCUUAACACAUGCAAGUCGAACGGAAAGGCCCCUUUGGGGUGCUCGAGUGGCGAACGGGUGAGUAACACGUGGGUGAUCUGCCCUGCACUCUGGGAUAAGCCUGGGAAACUGGGUCUAAUACCGGACAGGACCAUGGGAUGCAUGUUCUGUGGUGGAAAGUUUUAGAUGGUGUGGGAUGGGCCCGCGGCCUAUCAGCUUGUUGGUGGGGUGAUGGCCUACCAAGGCUGCGACGGGUAGCCGGCCUGAGAGGGGGUCCGGCCACACUGGGACUGAGAUACGGCCCAGACUCCUACGGGAGGCAGCAGUGGGGAAUAUUGCACAAUGGGCGCAAGCCUGAUGCAGCGACGCCGCGUGGGGGAUGACGGCCUUCGGGUUGUAAACCUCUUUCACCAUCGACGAAGCCUUUAUGGGUGACGGUAGGUGGAGAAGAAGCACCGGCCAACUACGUGCCAGCCGCCGCAGUAAAAC